rnacentral:lncRNA from 1 species
CAAAAAGCACAUGAAAAGAUGCUCAACAUUGCUAAUUAUUACAGAAAUGCAAAUUAAAACUACUAUGAGGUACCAUGUUACACCAGCCAGAAUGGCCAUCAUCAAAAAGUCUAUAAACAAUAAAUGGUGGAGAUUGUGUGGAGAAAAGUGAACCACCUUACACUGCUGGUGGCAAUGUAAGUUGGUACACCCACUAUGGAAAACACUAUGGAGGUUCCUCAAAAAAAUACAGAACUACCACAUGAUCCAACAAUUCCACUCCUGGGAAUAUAUCCAGACAAAACUUUCACUCAAAAAAUAGCAUGCACCCUUAUGUUUAUUACAGCACAAAUCAAAAUAGCCAAGACAUGGAAGAAACCUAAAUGUUCAUCAACAGAGGAAUGAAUAAAGAAAAUGUGGUACAUAUAUACAAUGGAAUAUUACUCAGCCAUAAAAAGAUGAAAUAAUGCCAUCUGCAUCAACUUGGAUGGACCUAGAAAUUAUCAUACUAAAGUGAAGUUAGACAAUGAAAGACAUACAUUAUAUGAUUUCACUUAUAUAAGGCAUCUUUUUAAAAAGGAUACAAACAAACUUAUUUGCAGAAGAGAAACAGACUCACAUACUUUGGAAGCAAACUUAUGAUUACCAAAGGGGACAGGUGGAGGAAGGCAUAGACAGAGGCAGGGGGUAGGGACUGACCCAGGUACAGUGUGGUCUGUGGAAUGACUGGCUAAUGGAGACCUGCUGUAUAGCACAGGGAACUCUAUCCAAUAUUCUGUGAUAAUCUAUAUGGGAAAAUAAUCUUAAAAAGAAUGAAUCUGUGUAUAUGUUUAACUGUAUCAAUUUGUUGUACAACAGAAAUUAUCACAACAUGGUAAAUCAACUAUCCUUCAAUAAAACUUUAAAAAAUGAAAAAGAAAUGUCAAUCAUCAGCCAAUUAACUGCCCCAACCUAACCCCAUCAAAAACCAACAUUAAGCAAAGACCUAAGUAAUUAAACCAAAGUUUUAAAGUGAUUGAGAGUUAUCAUCCAUGACAGACUGAUGGUGAAAUGAUAAAACUUUUUCUAUUUCCUACUGCCAUUCCUUCACUCAGUCAACAUUGAAUUUGUUAUCAAAAACAGAGAUUAGAAAGCUAUGGUUUGCGGGCCAGACACCUGUUUUUACAAUAGUCUUACGGCUGCUUUUGUGAUCUAUUAGCAGAGUUAGUAGGCAACAGAUAUCAUAUGACCUAUAAGCCUAAAAUAUUUACUAUCUGACCCUUUGGGGGGGGGAUGUCAAUCUUUAAAUUCUAAGCAAACGUUUCUGGUUCUGGGUAAGAUGGUCCUGUCUCUUCCAUUGAGUUCAGUUUUAAAACCUGGACUGAAUGCAUGAAGAAUUGGAAGACUCUGAAAAGCAGGGGCAGGUGAGUUGGGAAUAAAGACCACAAUUCAAAUUACUACCAAACCAGUGGUGAGUUUGCCAUUUUCUUCCCUCUGGUUGAAUU